AAGGCUUGACAUGCACCGGACGGCCGCAGAAAUGUGGCUUUCUUCGGACUGGUGCACAGGUGGUGCAUGGUUGUCGUCAGCUCGUGUCGUGAGAUGUUGGGUUAAGUCCCGCAACGAGCGCAACCCUCGUUCCAUGUUGCCAGCGCGUAAUGGCGGGGACUCAUGGGAGACUGCCGGGGUCAACUCGGAGGAAGGUGGGGACGACGUCAAAUCAUCAUGCCCCUUAUGUCUUGGGCUUCACGCAUGCUACAAUGGCCGGUACAAUGGGUUGCGAAACUGUGAGGUGGAGCGAAUCCCAAAAAGCCGGUCUCAGUUCGGAUUGGGGUCUGCAACUCGACCCCAUGAAGUCGGAGUCGCUAGUAAUCGCAGAUCAGCAACGCUGCGGUGAAUACGUUCCCGGGCC
rnacentral:rRNA from 1 species